UGGGUUUUUGGUGUGGAUGUCCUUUCUGUUUGUUAGUUUUCCUUCUAACAGACAGGACCCUCAGCUGUAGGUCUGUUGGAAUACCCUGCAGUGUGAAGUGUCAGUGUGCCUCUGCUGGGGGGUGCCUCCCAGUUAGGCUGCUUGGGGGUCAGGGGUCAGGGACCCACUUGAGGAGGCAGUCUGCCCGUACUCAGAUCUCCAGCUGCGUUCUGGGAGAACCACUGCUCUCUUCAAAGCUGUCAGACAGGGACAUUUAAGUCUGCAGAGGUUACUUCUGUCUUUUUGUUUGUCUGUGCCCUGCCCCCAGAGGUGGAGCCUACAGAGGCAGGCAGGCCUCCUUGAGCUGUGGUGGGCUCCACCCACUUCGAGCUUCCUGGCUGCUUUGUUUACCUAAUCAAGCCUGGGCAAUGGCGGGUGCCCCUCCCCCAGCCUCGUUGCCGCUUUGCAGUUUGAUCUCAGACUGCUGUGCUAGCAAUCAGCGAGACUCCAUGGGCGUAGGACCCUGCGAGCCAGGUGCGGGACAUAAUCUCGUGGUGCGCCGCUUUUUAAGCCGGUCCGAAAAGCGCAGUAUUCGGGUGGGAGUGACCCGAUUUUCCAAGUGCGUCCGUCACCCCUUUCUUUUACUCAGAAAGGGAACUCCCUGACCCCUUGCGCUUCCCAAGUGAGGCAAUGCCUCACCCUGCUUCGGCUCGCGCACGGUGCGCGCACCCACUGACCUGCGCCCACUGUCUGGCACUCCGUAGUGAGAUGAACCCGCUACCUCAGAUGGAAAUGCAGAAAUCACCUGUCUUCUGCCUCGCUCACGCUGGGAGCUGUAGACGGAAGCUGUUCCUAUUCGGCCAUCUUGGCUCCUUCCCCGGGGAAACACAUAUAAUGUUUUAAAAGUAUUCUGAUCUCUGGAUUCUUAACUUGGAGGCCAUGGAUAGGCUUAAAACUCAUCCAAAAUGUUUUGUGUGCUUUUGUUUUUUUGUAGAGGAAGUUUCCAAAACUUUCUUCUAAUUCUCAAAGAGAUAGUAGAACAAUUAAUCUAAUCUCAAUCUCUAAAUUCACCUGUGAGAAAAAUGAGACCUGGAUCUGUUGCUAGAUCUAUGAACAGACCAACUAUGAGACCUUGGCCAGCACUCAGCCUUCUGCUGGGAGGAAGGGUCAGUGCUGCCUAGAGAAAAGAGCACUAGACUCAGAGAAAGCAAGGACAAAGCACAGAGCUUGUGGGAGAAACCAUCACGGACUCAGACUUCUCCUGGCACUCAGGUGUCUGCUUUGCUUUCUCUUCACUCCUCCUUGUUGUAUUACCCCAUCUCCCACUGCAGAAAUUUACUUUACUUUUUGAUAUACAAGAUACUGAGACUGCAUCUGUCAAAUUUUCACUGCCAAAAUUAUUUUGCAAAACUCUACUCAGUUUUAUAUACUCGUGUGGUUGUUUCUCUUUGUUUUUCACUAACAUUGAAAGCAAAUCUACAGGAAAUACUUUUUUUUGCUUGGAAGAGGAAUAGAGAUUAUAAUCUAAUUUGGUGGAAAGACUGCUGCCUGUAUCCAACUCUACAUACAUUUGAGUCCAGUGCUAUGCAAAUAUGAUAACGAAAACUCAGAGAGGCUUGUUGAUAUGCUGUAUUUCAAUGGGUCAAACAAGUUGCAAGU
rnacentral:lncRNA from 10 species